AAGUGAAAUUGAAAAUAGAAAAGAUAGUUUCAUAUUAAUUUUUUUGUAUACACCUACGUGUGUCGCCAUUGCAUCAUAUUUCAACUAGAAGUAAACUCUGUUUCGGCGUACAAUGCUGGGUCGCCGUGCGACUCGAACAGAAACGUAUGGUGCGGGUAUCAAAAACAGCUCGUAUGUUCGACAGUUUGGACAGUAGCGUAUCGUAAAGGUUGUAUGCAAUUUAAAGCCAAUAUUUUGUCGAAGCCGGGUGGUUAUUGAGUCACAUAUUGCAAAUUCCUAUGGGAUUUACACAGCUUUACGAAACGGCUAUUGGGAAAGCGUGCUUCGACGCAAUGUUUUGCUAGGAAUAUAGGAGGGAUUCGAAUUUGUAACGCAGCGGUUUGUUUUUAAGAACACAUUGUAACGACGUAUAUAAACUUUUUUUUUUUGCAAAAUAAAGAUCGAAAGUUUGAUAAAAUAUCUUAGACAUUUCUCGCUUCGUUUGUAUGCUUAAUUCAAUUUAGCGGGUGAACUCGUCGGGCAACUGUGUGACAAUGAAGCCUUUUGCUGUUAUGGCAAAUGGGCAGUAGUGUUUUUUGUGUUACGACACCUUUUGCCCUUAGAUUUUAAAGUCAGCAGAGUAGGCAGCGUGCAUAAAAUAUCUGGCGCAACGCGUAAGUUACUAUAUUAAAAUAAUCAAUUGGGGAUCCGCUAUUGUAUUUCGUCAGUGAGCAUACUUAUUCUGAGUAUAAGCCUUGCUCGUCUGCGUAAAAGCACUACGCUAACCGGAAUUUUACGCCUACGUCCCGUUCUACAGUCACAUUGUUACAUAACAUACCAAAUCUUACACAGCUGAUAUCUCUAAUAAAUAACUAUUUCUGCUUGUCCGCAUUAUCCACUCCAUUAUGUUAAUGUUCGUAGAUCAAUAACGUAUCACUAUUCAGUAAUUGCGCUUUUUCGCGAGAGGAUUUGAUCAAUACUGGAAGUCUUACAUUCCUGAUUAUGUCUCAGCUAAAUUAACCAGGUUUAACUAGAACUGACGGGCUGCACCUGCUAGAUACAAGGAGCAGUAACGAUCAACUGUGUGCUCUCCGACUGAAUUGUCGUGCUCUAUGAAUGUUUGUACACCCAUAUAUGUAUAGGAUCUUUGACUUAUCAUAUGAUCUUGGCUAUACAUUAGCUACUGCCAUUGGCGCUGGAUAGCCCAGUGUUUUAGGUAAGACUUUCCAAUUAUACUAUGGCUUUAUCAGAGAUUUUUGGCCGGAUAUAGUAGUUUUUGCUUACAUCAAGCACGAGAGCGGCCUAGAGGCAACUGUUUUAUUUCAUAUCUGUAAACCCUGUUGGCAAGGGGGGCUGAGGUUAUCCAAAUAUUACGAAGGAUAGGACAAAAAUAAUAGCAGAAGUUCACUGUGCAUUGGCCCCUGAGGAGCUGUUGUUCGUUGAAUCUUUAUUGUAAAUCUUGUUCAGUAAACUUUUUUGAUAAAUAUAUAGGAAACGUUAAUUAAGUCACGUUAUUGGAACAUGUAUGUGUUCAAACAACAAACAGCGUUCCUACAUUUUAUAUGGCUGUUGUCGAUUUAAAUAGGAUUAGUUUUAAAUUUUGUUAUCAAGAGACCGGUUAACUCCAAGCGGUUAGUUAUCCUUAACAGUCUUCCCUAUUCAAUAUUCAGAUCAAAUUAAAAUAGAGGUCAUAAUGGAGAACGUUGCCUCAGGUCCGGUAAAAAUGAAAAAACUAAAAGAAACGCACAUUAUCCGUGUAUCUCUAUCCACAUUCUAAUGCUCAUUUUAUAUUUAUUUCAGUAACACCAGAUUUCGCCUCGACGAACGUUGACACAUUCCAGUAUUAUACCCCGCACAGGUUCAAAAAAACGUAGAGAUCCUCUAGUGUAGGUGCGUGCUUCAUCGCCAAACAAAAAACCGCCUACGCAACAGCAAAACUCCCAAUCACGGGCAACGUGCUACAAAACAUGUAACAGACGGUGCUGCAUUUUAAGGGAGAAACGGCGUUCACAACAAAAGCCUUGAGCGUGACGUAACUAACUCGAUAUAGAAAAGGCUCGAAUGGUAGCUAGUCAAACACUUUAAGUUAUAGUCUAAGGGGCCUACCACGUUUGGCAAAAGUUCACAAAUUAUACAUAUACUAAAAAAGCGGAUCUUAAUGUGAGGUUCGCUAAGAUCCGUUCGAACGUCACAUUCAUAUAAUUAUAUCUUUGUGCAGAAAGGGCAGCUGAAACUUUAACAUGGUUUCUCUACGUGAAAAAACAGUUGGCUUUCGCUUGACGUUGUUCGACACAUUGUCUUUUCUAGAGCGAAGAAUUCUACGCUCGUAUAAAAAUCAAAGCUAUCCCGUCCGUUUCUAUGAUGACCUGUGUACAUUUCAGUAAACGAAAAUUGUUUUAAUCUUUGAUUGGUAAAGCUUUGUUUGGUAUCUAUCUUAAGUGAAGAACUAAAUAGACUUUAUCCCGUUAGUCCGUGGGUCAUUCAGUAAGUUCAAGUAACUAAGGGAACUAAGGGAAAAAGGCAUCAAUGUUUCAGCACAGAAACGUUACGUAGUUGUAACGAAUAGUAAUCAUAAUUAGAUUCUCAUUUAUACUAUCGUUCACUUAUUAUAGUACUUCAAAAUAAAAUCAGAAUAUUCUUACACCUCCUUUUCUUAAUUUAGGUUUUCUGGAUAUGUAUGAAAGAUAAAUUGUGUUGCAACAAAAACGCUUCCAACAUUCACCUGAACCGAGCUUUGUGUAGGAUCAAAUAUGAUUAAAAUGUCAACAUGCAUUCCCAACACACGUAAGGUGAGUGGAGUAUAUAAAAAGAACUGACGUCAAACCGCGUAAAAAUACCCUGCUCCUCGGAGUAUUUUUCCGUAAAUCCCAUAACGCAAAGGAGAAAACAUUCGCUUUUCCCUAUCGUAUAAGGUAGGUCGACAGGUACCAGCAUGUCCGAUGCGUGUGACGGUGGCAGCUAUUUGUGCUGCAUCAAUAUGCCUUUCUUGUGCCUUAGCAGAAUGCUUAAUACUUGGCUGGGCUUUUACCAAGGAUAACUCCCAUUCUGAAUUUUAUGCUUAUGUGAUGGUUAGAAUGAUUGUGGCCAAAAUAGUGCAUAGUUACAUUGGAGACCCCUGGAUAUUUUUCCUCCCUUUGAGGGCAACGGGGAUGCCCCGUCUCGCAUCCGGCUACUCACUUGGUUUAAACGGCCUUAGUGGACGGUAUAAUCCGUCCUGGAUCCGACCCUGGAACUUGGUCUUUCUGAUACAAUACAUCCAGAAGACAACAUAUCGCAUUAUUAAAGGCUAACAUUUUUGUGCGAAUAGGAUAAAAGCUACGAAAGCCAGAAAAAUUACAGUAUUUAAUGCUUGACUGAACUUUUCGGAUGAUGAUAACUUGGAAAAUUAGAAUUGUGCAUAAUGGCUAAAUUGUUCGAUGUAGCUACAGAAAGAAAAUAGAAUUGUUCUCCAUUUAAAACAAACACAAGGGAUUUAUAUAUAUGGAAAAUCAUUCAUUUUCAUAGAUGCUCUGUUUAUCAUCAUAAAUUUGGUUAAUUUUGAACCGUUGCAGUGGAACUUCACCCUCUAGUUAGUUAUGUGUGCGACGUAGACUUUAGCCCUUCAGAACGUUACGUCGUCUAAACUAUCGUGGAAACGAUCCGUAGGCCAAAUCCAGAGGGCAGCCAAGGUAAAGGACGCAAAGCGGUCCUUUCAAUGUCAACUGAAGACAGAAAGAUUACAGAGAACACCAUGUACGAAUGUGGUUCUCGGCCACGUGAGUUCAACAUCGGCUAAAGAAAAAUUUCAAACGAAGUAGAGUCGCAUCAAUGAUGAGUCGACCCAAGCUAUCGUACUCUGUUGCGCCAUGUUUGUUUCUAAAUAACUGUACGUCUAAAUAAAGUUACUAGUUUUUCUACGUGUGUGUAUUCUCUAGAACAUGUCAAUGUUCAUCUAGCGAAGCGGUUUGCAUUAUUCGAAAGUUUCAUGUGUAUGAAGAUCAGCUAACCCUAUAGUGGAUGUCCGCUGUCAAUGCUUUCCAUCACUGCAGGCGCUAACACGUGGGCUGCAGUGAGCACAUAUUACAAAUUAACACCUAUAUAAAAAAUAUAAACUUCCUAAGUAUGAAAAAUUUUACAUGUAUAGGGUAAACAAACAAGCGUUUCCAUUCGAACGGGUUUACCAUAGGCUAUGCUAACUGGCUGGAUUAUUUUCACAGUAUAUACGUAUGAUGAUAUGUAUGUUUGAGGUGUUUGUCUGCAAUGUUUGUACGCUUUAAAUAUUUGUCCAGCUAAUCUUAAUUUUAGCUGUUAUUAUCUGCAUGUGGUCGAAUAUUUGUUACGCUGGCACGUUUUAAUUUCUAUACAUUUAUUCACGCUCCUCCAGAAGCAAAUAAGCGUCGAUCUA